UACGAGAACCCCAAGCGUUAUCCGGAAUCAUUGGGCGUAAAGGGUGUGUAGGUGGUCGUGUUAGUCUUCUGUCAAAUCCUUCGGCUUAACCGGGGUGUUGCAGGGGAAACGGCACGACUCGAGGAUGCGAGAGGUGAAUGGAACUCAUGGAGUAGGGGUAAUAUCCGUUGAUAUCAUGGGGAACACCAAAAGCGAAGGCAAUUCACUGGCGCACUUCCUGACACUGAGACACGAAAGCGUGGGUCGCGAAUGGG
rnacentral:rRNA from 1 species